rnacentral:rRNA from 1 species
CAACUGCCUGUAAGACUGGGAUAACUCGUGGAAACGCGAGCUAAUACCGGAUAACACUUUUCAUCUCCUGAUGAGAAGUUGAAAGGCGGCUUUUGCUGUCACUUACAGAUGGGCUGCGGCGCAUUAGCUAGUUGGUAAGGUAACGGCUUACCAAGGCGACGAUGCGUAGCCGACCUGAGAGGGUGAUCGGCCACACUGGGACUGAGACACGGCCCAGACUCCUACGGGAGGCAGCAGUAGGGAAUCUUCCGCAAUGGACGAAAGUCUGACGGAGCAACGCCGCGUGAGUGAUGAAGGUUUUCGGAUCGUAAAACUCUGUUGUUAGGGAAGAACAAGUACUAUAGUAACUGAUAGUACCUUGACGGUACCUAACCAGAAAGCCACGGCUAACUACGUGCCAGCAGCCGCGGUAAUACGUAGGUGGCAAGCGUUGUCCGGAAUUAUUGGGCGUAAAGCGCUCGCAGGCGGUUCUUUAAGUCUGAUGUGAAAUCUUACGGCUCAACCGUAAACGUGCAUUGGAAACUGGGGAACUUGAGUGCAGAAGAGGAGAGUGGAAUUCCACGUGUAGCGGUGAAAUGCGUAGAGAUGUGGAGGAACACCAGUGGCGAAGGCGACUCUCUGGUCUGUAACUGACGCUGAGGAGCGAAAGCGUGGGGAGCGAACAGGAUUAGAUACCCUGGUAGUCCACGCCGUAAACGAUGAGUGCUAGGUGUUAGGGGGUUUCCGCCCCUUAGUGCUGAAGUUAACGCAUAA